GACGAACGCUGGCGGCGUACUUAACACAUGCAAGUCGAACGGAAAGGCCCUGCUUUUGUGGGGUGCUCGAGUGGCGAACGGGUGAGUAACACGUGAGUAACCUGCCCUUGACUUUGGGAUAACUUCAGGAAACUGGGGCUAAUACCGGAUAGGAGCUCCUGCUGCAUGGUGGGGGUUGGAAAGUUUCGGCGGUUGGGGAUGGACUCGCGGCUUAUCAGCUUGUUGGUGGGGUAGUGGCUUACCAAGGCUUUGACGGGUAGCCGGCCUGAGAGGGUGACCGGCCACAAGGGGACUGAGAGACGGCCCAGAGUCCUACGGGAGGCAGCAGUGGGGAAUAUUGCACAAUGGGCGGAAGCCUGAUGCAGAAACGCCGCGUGCGGGAUGACGGCCUUCGGGUUGUAAACCGCUUUCGCCUGUGACGAAGCGUGAGUGACGGUAAUGGGUAAAGAAGCACCGGCUAACUACGUG
rnacentral:rRNA from 1 species